rnacentral:rRNA from 1 species
GACGAACGCUGGCGGCGUGCUUAACACAUGCCAGUCGAACGGUGAAGGGACUGGUUUUGCUGGUCCUGGAUGAGUGGCGAACGGGUGAGUAACACGUGAGUAACCUGCCCCCUUCUUCUGGAUAACCGCAUGAAAGUGUGGCUAAUACGGGAUAUUCUGGGUCUGUCGCAUGGUGGGCCUGGGAAAGAUUGCGCCUUUUUUGGUGUUUUUGGUGGGGGAUGGGCUCGCGGCCUAUCAGCUUGUUGGUGGGGUGAUGGCCUACCAAGGCGGUGACGGGUAGCCGGCCUGAGAGGGUGGACGGUCACACUGGGACUGAGACACGGCCCAGACUCCUACGGGGGGCAGCAGUGGGGAAUAUUGCACAAUGGGCGCAAGCCUGAUGCAGCGACGCCGCGUGAGGGAUGGAGGCCUUCGGGUUGUGAACCUCUUUCGCCGGUGAAGCAGGCCUGCCUCUUUUUGUGGGUGGGUUGACGGUAGCUGGAUAAGAAGCGCCGGCUAACUACGUG